rnacentral:rRNA from 1 species
AUACGUAGGGGGCGAGCGUUGUCCGGAAUGAUUGGGCGUAAAGGGCGCGUAGGCGGCCCGGUAAGUCUGGAGUGAAAGUCCUGUUUUUAAGAUGGGAAUUGCUUUGGAUACUGUCGGGCUUGAGUGCAGGAGAGGUAAGUGGAAUUCCCAGUGUAGCGGUGAAAUGCGUAGAGAUUGGGAGGAACACCAGUGGCGAAGGCGACUUACUGGACUGUAACUGGCGCUGAGGCGCGAAAGUGUGGGGAGCAAACAGGAUUAGAUACCCUGGUAGUCCACACUGUAAACGAUGAAUGCUAGGUGUAGGGGGUAUCGACCCCUUCUGUGCCGCAGUCAACACAAUAAGCAUUCCGCCUGGGGAGUACGGCCGCAAGGUUGAAACUCAAAUGAAUUGACGG